rnacentral:rRNA from 1 species
CUUGGUCAUUUAGAGGAAGUAAAAGUCGUAACAAGGUUUCCGUAGGUGAACCUGCGGAAGGAUCAUUCAUAACGAGUGUUUAUGGCACUUUUAAAAAUCCAUACCCACCUUGUGUGCAUCGUUAGUCAUGUUUCUUGUUCUCUCUUAAGAGGACGAGGAGGCAGGCUUCAAAUUAAUCUAUCUUUAACCAGUUUGUCUGAAGCAAUGUAUCAUGAGUUAACAUAAUUCUAAAAUACAACUUUCAACAACGGAUCUCUUGGCUCUCGCAUCGAUGAAGAACGCAGCGAAAUGCGAUACGUAAUGUGAAUUGCAGAAUUCAGUGAAUCAUCGAAUCUUUGAACGCACAUUGCGCUCUCUGGUAUUCCGGAGAGCAUGCUUGUUUGAGUAUCAGUAAAACACCCUCAGCCUUUUCUUUAUUGAGAAAGCUGGACUUGAGUGAUCCCAACGGUUUUUUUUAAAAGGCUGGCGGGUUGCUUGAAAUGCAGGUGCGGCUGGACACAUCUUCUGAGCUAUAAGCAUUACCUAUUUAGUCCCGUCAAACGGAUUAUUUCUAUUGCUACAGCUAAUAUAAAGGUUGAUUGUCCUUGUGCCCGACUGAUGCAGGAAAACAUGGAGAAAUCCUUGUUCAACUCGAUCUCAAAUCAAGUAAGACUACCCGCUGAACUUAAGCAUAUCAAUAAGCGGAGGAA